rnacentral:misc_RNA from 1 species
GAUGAAGAACGUAGCGAAAUGCGAUAAGUAAUGUGAAUUGCAGAAUUCAGUGAAUCAUCGAAUCUUUGAACGCACAUUGCGCCCUCUGAUAUUCCGGGGGGCAUGCCUGUUCGAGCGUCAUUAUAACCACUCAAGCUCUCGCUUGGUAUUGGGGUUCGCGGUUUCGCGGCCCCUAAAAUCAGUGGCGGUGCCUGUCGGCUCUACGCGUAGUAAUACUUCUCGCGAUUGAGUUCGAUAGGUCUACUUGCCAGUAACCCCCAAUUUUUACAGGUUGACCUCGGAUCAGGUAGGGAUACCCGCUGAACUUAAGCAUAUCAAUAAGCGGAGGA